GGAAUAUAAGAACUCGUCUCUUAACUUUUAACUAAAAAAAUUAAGAACAAGUUCUUAAAUAAGAGUUUUAAGAGCCGAUUUUUUACUUUUUUAGUUAAAAGUUAAAAGACGGGUUCUUAUAUUCC
rfam:Brassica napus, WGS project CCCW01000000 data, contig: 3412